rnacentral:rRNA from 1 species
UACAGAGGUCUCAAGCGUUGUUCGGAAUCACUGGGCAUAAAGCGCACGUAGGCGGUCUGUUAAGUCAGGUGUGAAAGCCCCCGGCUCAACCGGGGAAUUGCAUUUGAUACUGGCAGGCUCGAGAACGGUAGGGGUGAGUGGAACUCCAGGUGGAGCGGUGAAAUGCGUAGAUAUCUGGAGGAACACCGGUGGCGAAAGCGGCUCACUGGACCGUCACUGACGCUGAGGUGCGAAAGCUAGGGUAGCAAACGGG